CAGGUUUCCAACAGGUAGCAGAAAAGAUCACAGGAUCACAGGUGCAAAUAAAAACAAACAGAAAUAAAAAUCAACAAGUUGAUACAAAGACCUACGCAUGUCGUCCUGUUCUGGACUUCCUCAGGGUUAUGGAGUAGUGAUCUGUCGAGUUCUUCUUAUACAUUUGUUAUUCAGCAUUAAACUCGCUGCAACUGAUGGCGUGCGUUCCAC